rnacentral:rRNA from 1 species
CAGCAGCCGCGGGAAAACGUAGGUGGCAAGCGUUGUCCGGAAUUAUUGGGCGUAAAGCGCGCGCAGGUGGUUUAAUAAGUCUGAUGUGAAAGCCCCCGGCUCAACCGGGGAGGGUCAUUGGAAACUGGGAAACUUGAGUGCAGAAGAGGAGAGUGGAAUUCCACGUGUAGCGGUGAAAUGCGUAGAGAUGUGGAGGAACACCAGUGGCGAAGGCGACUCUCUGGUCUGUAACUGACGCUGAGGAGCGAAAGCGUGGGGAGUGAACAGGAUUAGAUACCCGUGUAGUCCCUGUCUCUUAUAC